rnacentral:rRNA from 1 species
UGAGUAAUGCAUCGGAACGUGCCCAGUCGUGGGGGAUAACGCAGCGAAAGCUGUGCUAAUACCGCAUACGAUCUAUGGAUGAAAGCGGGGGACCUUCGGGCCUCGCGCGAUUGGAGCGGCCGAUGUUAGAUUAGGUAGUUGGUGGGGUAAAGGCUCACCAAGCCGACGAUCUAUAGCUGGUCUGAGAGGACGACCAGCCACACUGGAACUGAGACACGGUCCAGACUCCUACGGGAGGCAGCAGUGGGGAAUUUUGGACAAUGGGCGAAAGCCUGAUCCAGCAAUACCGCGUGCAGGAAGAAGGCCCUCGGGUUGUAAACUGCUUUUGUACGGAACGAAACGGCGUGCUCUAAUAAAGUGCGCUAAUGACGGUACCGUAAGAAUAAGCACCGGCUAACUACGUGCCAGCAGCCGCGGUAAUACGUAGGGUGCAAGCGUUAAUCGGAAUUACUGGGCGUAAAGCGUGCGCAGGCGGUUUUGUAAGACAGGCGUGAAAUCCCCGGGCUUAACCUGGGAAUUGCGCUUGUGACUGCAGGCUAGAGUACGGUAGAGGGGGGUAGAAUUCC